rnacentral:lncRNA from 1 species
UUUUUUAUGUGGCUAAUUCCAAAAUAUCUCUUUUUUUCUGGCCUAGGUCCAGAAUUGUCAAGCUGCUAUGCAUACCACCAUUAUUAUGACCCAAUUAUGACCCAAUUAUUUCAGGUGUUACUGAAAAUAAGGGGAGAGAAGAACAUUCAAAGUUUCAAAACUAUGAGCCUACCUUAUUAAUGUGAUAAUGAUGGCUCUACAUUGCUGAGCUAAGAGGUGAGAGUCAAAUGCUGGAGUACAAAUAGAAAUAAUAACACUGGGGAAGACUUCCCUGUGAAAACAUUAUGCAAGGAAGCAGCACAAAUACAGGGCACAUUUACACUUGCAGCAUGCUACCGCUUUGAAAGUGUUUCAAUUAUAUUUACAGAACACCAAUAAAAAGAAGUGUUCUUAAAAGAAAAAGCAGAAAUAUAUGUAUAUCUACAUAUCUUAAUACACACACACACACACACACACACACACCCAUCUGUCCACUUAAUCAGCGUAUGCCUCACAAUAAAAUCAAGUCAGAAAAAACUACAGUGCUUUCAGAAUUUCAAUCCUUGCUUUUAGUUCCAGCACAUCUGCAGGAAAAAUAAGUUUUGUGAUUUCUUAGAGGCUGUGGUUAACCUCAUAGCAUGGAAUAAAUUAUCUACAAUUCCAUCCUUCAUUAAAACACCCUUUCCAUGAAACGUGUCAAUGAAGUCAGAACCUGGCUGGCCAUGGAUCAACCAGAGCACUGACCAUCCACUUAUUUUUUUUCCAUUAUAUCCCUCAGUUAUAGCAAAAUAUAGUCAUUCAUUCCCAAGAGUUUUAAACUGUUUAUGUUGUACCCUAAGAACAUCUAUAAUGUUUUAAUCUGAACAGAGUGAAUAUAUACAUGUAUCAAAGUAAAAUGCCAUACAACACAUAUAAAUACAAAUAUCUUUAACCUCAAUUGAGAUUGAAUGGCUGAAUGAUUUAAUUAUUCCUCAUUCAAACUGCACAAACAUAUCCCUCUGAAGCAUAUUUAAUAAUAUUUAGAAAAGUCUUUAAUUCCUAACCCUGCCCACAAAAUCUAUUAAUAUCUAAAGAGUGCUUAAGUUUGAGAAAAUAAAGGAGAAUGUCAUUCCAAAAGUUGUUUUGGCAACAUUCAUCCCACAUUUUCACUUAUGAGUACAUGAAAAUUACAUCUCUGCCAUUCCCAAUUCCUCCCUCUCAGCCUUUGUUCUUCAUCAGCCUGGUAAAAAGGAGAGAGUUUACAUAAAAGAGCAUUCCUCCCCCUUUUUUUAAAGUCCAUCUCUCUACUACUGUGACACAAGCAACCAACAAGAUCCCAAAAUCGAAAACAGCAUCCCCUCAAUUGAAUACUGGGGAGAUUUGUCAAAGGUCAAUGUUUAGACUCCAGCUGAAGACUACAGGUAGGAGUCAUUACCUUCCAAUAGCUACUUGAGAUGAACAGAUAUAUAUUCAGUAGGUAAUAAAAGUAACAACAAAAUUUACACCUGAAUUGAAACAGAAACCAAAAAAUCGAACUGGAUGAUUUUAUAAGUAAGAAUUCUAUGAGGAGUCAGUGACUAUAUUACUCUUCAAAAUCUUUACAAUGGCUUGUAGACCAAUGUAAGAACAAAGUAAAAACAGUUACAAAAGGUGUUUUAUAGCCUUUGGAUGUUUGAUAUAUUCCAAUCUCUUUUCAAGAAGAGAUCAUAUAGUCACUCUUCUUCAAAAAUAGGACACAUUUCAGGUACUUUAAAGUGAAUAGCUAUUAAUAGCUAUUAAUAUAUAACCCUAUCCAUUUUACAUAAAUGACAUUAAAAGGAAAUAUAUUUUUCAAUUUUGAAUGAUUCAUUACUUUCAAUUAUAAUUGUGUUGAUACAUGUGCCAGAAAUAAUUAUUACAGUGCCAAAUUAUAUAUAAAAAUCAGGUGUUUUAUUUUUAACUUAAUAUAUUGUACUCAUCUCUUUUACUCUCUAUAUUAUUCUGGAGUUUAUUAAUAUGGAGUCUUAUAAAAUUUAUGAUGAAAUUUCUAGUCAUUAAAUGCAAAUUUUUCUUCCCUUGUUAUGGUUUCUACAGCUGUACUUGAAGGUGUAGCUUGAUGAAGAAAAAUAUUGGCUUUGUUGUAAUGAAAACUAAGAAUACUACUUAAUAAGAUUUACUACCACACUGUAGGAAGGACUUCUAAUACAAGCAAACAUAAUCAAAUUGUGUCACAAAUUCUUCUCACAAAUAUUUUAAACUCUCUGGAAUUGAUUUUAGCCAAAGAGUCCUGAGAUUUUUUUUUUUUUUUUUUUUUGGCACUGAGGGGAAUCUUGGCUAAAGAGUACCAUAAUUUCACUCCCUUCUCCUGUUCCAUAAGCAUUCUUGUCACUGAUAUAUGAAAGAACACUUGGAUACACUCCUGUUCACAUUCUCUUCAGAGUGGGGAUUAGGAGUCAUCUGCAUUGAUAACAGAUUUAUGCAUUACAUGCAACUUUCUUUACUAAGAAUUCUCUCUUUUUUUCCUCUUACAAUGAUGGAAAACUUACAAUAGUGUUUUUGGUAAAUUGUCCUUAUGCUCAAGUAAAUUCUUUUUCAUGACUGCAGUUUUGGUUCAAAUAAUGCCUCCAUUACGAUUUUAGAACUGAAAUAUGUAAAUGAGUUUAUUUUUACUACAAAUGAAUUUUAAUUAGGUUUAGGAAGAAUAAAAAGAUAAAUUUUAGGCAUAAUGGCUAAAAUGUGAAUGUUUCCUUAACACCAUUUUUUAAAAAUUCCCUGUGUUCACCAAGGGAUUAGUACAAAAGCAGUGAAGAUGCAGAUUAGGAGAUUCUUUUUUCCUUUAUAAUUAUGGAGUUACCAAUCAGAUAAAAGUUUCAGAGGAGCACAUAUUUGAGAUUAAUGGAGGCACACUGAUGGAAAGGGCUCCAGGCCUUCACCAGUGGAGCUGUCCUAAGUAAUUCUGAAUCAGAGAUGAACCUACCCUCCCUCAAGUGUCUUAGCUAAGUCUAUUCAUUCACAACAAUCUUAAAAGACUUGUACCCUCAAUAAUUUAGUCUGAUACACUGAGAUAUCCUUGCAUUUGAUUCUAGACCGGGUCUUACCAUCUUACCUAGGCUCUAUUAUCAUCAGAACCCUAGACUAUUCUUGGUAAGUGCACAUAAUGAGUUAGUCCUUUU